UACGUAGGGUGCGAGCGUUAAUCGGAAUUACUGGGCGUAAAGCGUGCGCAGGCGGUUAUAUAAGACAGUUGUGAAAUCCCCGGGCUCAACCUGGGAAUUGCAUCUGUGACUGUAUAGCUAGAGUACGGUAGAGGGGGAUGGAAUUCCGCGUGUAGCAGUGAAAUGCGUAGAUAUGCGGAGGAACACCGAUGGCGAAGGCAGCCUCCUGGGCCAGCACUGACGCUCAUGCACGAAAGCGUGGGGAGCAAACAGG
rnacentral:rRNA from 1 species